rnacentral:lncRNA from 1 species
AGCAGAACAGUCCAUCUCACAGGACUGGUUCACACAGUGGAAGGGACUUGUCCAAAGCACAGGUUCUCUUUGGAUCUCUGCACAGGCAAACUUCCUAAGCUCCACCCAUGUCUCCACCGAAUGCUGUGUUGCUUUGAAAUUUCAUUAGCCCAACAAACUCAUCCACCCUUUUGAAUUCAGCCUCACUCAGAAGUGUAGUGCACCAGCAGAGGAGCCAUUCUCUAGCAGAAUGUUCUCAUAAAUGGCCUUCAGUUGGAUUUAUUAUCAAGCUCUCCUCUCCUGGAGCCUCAUGAACAUAGCCUUCACUUCUCUCAACAUUCUGGUCUUCCACAAUCUCUUCUACAGGAUUACCCGCUCCACUCUGUUUGUGGCGUUUGAGGGCUUCUCUGGCCUGUGCAGCUACAAACUCUUCUACAUUCCUCUCCCAAACCACUUCCAACACACCAUUAGUCAUAUGUCUAGGUUUAUCACAACAACUCCCCUUACCAGUGCCACUAUCAAUGGUUUCAUGGCGCUGAUGAAGUACCUGACAGAAGACUAUGUUUUUCUCAAGACUCAUGUCUUGAGAAGUACAGUCCAGCAUGGUGAACAAAUCAUGGGCUGCAUUUGGUUUGUGGCAGACAGGAACCAAAGAGGAACUUGCCAGAACUAGAACCAGACUUCAGGACAAAAGGCCUGCACCACAACAAACCCCUUCCUUCAGCUGGGCUUCAUAUUCAAACAGUUCCACAGCCUCCCAAAACAUUGCCACCAGCUUGAGACUAAGUUCCCAAACUCAUGAGCCAUCCUUUGAAUUAUACUCAAAGCAUGACAUGUGUGAAUCAGUCUUUACACAUUCGUAUACUGGAUGCAGAAACAUCUAAUAUAUACAUACAGAUGAGGUGGUUCUAUACAAUUAUAUUGGAUUAGAAAACCUGCAGCCUAGUGACUGAUUGAAGAACAACACACUACUUGUCUGUGGUAAUGCUAUGAUCAAAAAUCAAAGUGCUGGUGGGGACUGGGGAGAUGGGGGUCACAUGCCAAGACCUCUCAAGCUAUAAUUUUCUUGAUUUCAAAAUGGAGUGAACAGACCGAUCAAGUCCUGCUCACUCCUGCAGCUCAGCCCUGCCUGUCUUGUGCUCAGACACUUAAACUAAUCACACUGAGGCAAAGCCAUACCACCCAAAGCCUAAUUUAUACUUAAGUGCUCAAUAUUAAACAUAGUCCUGAGAGAC